rnacentral:rRNA from 1 species
GAUGAACGCUGGCGGCGUGCCUAAUACAUGCAAGUCGAGCGAACAGACGAGGAGCUUGCUCCUCUGACGUUAGCGGCGGACGGGUGAGUAACACGUGGAUAACCUACCUAUAAGACUGGUAUAACUUCGGGAAACCGGAGCUAAUACCGGAUAAUAUAUUGAACCGCAUGGUUCAAUAGUGAAAGACGGUUUUGCUGUCACUUAUAGAUGGAUCCGCGCCGCAUUAGCUAGUUGGUAAGGUAACGGCUUACCAAGGCAACGAUGCGUAGCCGACCUGAGAGGGUGAUCGGCCACACUGGAACUGAGACACGGACCAGACUCCUACGGGAGGCAGCAGUAGGGAAUCUUCCGCAAUGGGCGAAAGCCUGACGGAGCAACGCCGCGUGAGUGAUGAAGGUCUUCGGAUCGUAAAACUCUGUUAUUAGGGAAGAACAAAUGUGUAAGUAACUAUGCACGUCUUGACGGUACCUAAUCAGAAAGCCACGGCUAACUACGUG